GCAGUGGUGGUUCAGUGACAGAAUUCUCCCCUUCCAUGCCGGAGAUCCAGGUUCGACUCCUGACCAAUGUA
rnacentral:tRNA from 1 species